rnacentral:pre_miRNA from 1 species
UUAGCUCAUAUUUGUAUGGAAUGGGAUCGUUUGCGUACGUUUGCCGCUAGGGGCGCUGUUCCAACUGCAUACAAAUUUGAGUUA